GCCCAAGUAGCUCAGUCGGUAGAGCGCAUCCUUGGUAAGGAUGAGGUCACCGGUUCAACCCCGGUCUUGGGCU
rnacentral:tRNA from 1 species